UACGUAGGGUGCGAGCGUUGUCCGGAAUUAUUGGGCGUAAAGAGCUUGUAGGCGGUUUGUCGCGUCUGCCGUGAAAAUCCGGGGCUCAACCCCGGACUUGCAGUGGGUACGGGCAGACUAGAGUGUGGUAGGGGAGACUGGAAUUCCUGGUGUAGCGGUGAAAUGCGCAGAUAUCAGGAGGAACACCGAUGGCGAAGGCAGGUCUCUGGGCCACUACUGACGCUGAGAAGCGAAAGCAUGGGGAGCGAACAGG
rnacentral:rRNA from 1 species